UACGGAGGGUGCGAACGUUAAUCGGAAUCACUGGGCGUAAAGCGCGCGUAGGCGGCCCGGUAAGUCCGCUCUGAAAGUCCAGGGCUCAACCCUGGAAAGCGGGUGGAUACUGCCGGGCUAGAAUCCGGAAGAGGCGAGUGGAAUUCCUGGUGUAGCGGUGGAAUGCGCAGAGUAUCAGGAGGAACACCAAUAGCGAAGGCAGCUCGCU
rnacentral:rRNA from 1 species